rnacentral:rRNA from 1 species
CUCGUAGGCGGCUGGUCGCGUCUGCCGUGAAAUCCUCUGGCUUAACUGGGGGCUUGCGGUGGGUACGGGCCGGCUUGAGUGCGGUAGGGGAGACUGGAACUCCUGGUGUAGCGGUGGAAUGCGCAGAUAUCAGGAAGAACACCGGUGGCGAAGGCGGGUCUCUGGGCCGUUACUGACGCUGAGGAGCGAAAGCGUGGGGAGCGAACA